rnacentral:rRNA from 1 species
GAUGAACGCUGGCGGCGUGCCUAAUACAUGCAAGUCGAGCGAAGCGGGGACGGGUGAGUAACACGUGGAUAACCUCCUAUAAGACUGGGCUAACUUCGGGAAAACGGAGCUAAACCGGAUACUUAUCGAUGCAUUGGCGCUGCAUUAGCUUGUUGGUAAGGUAACGGCUUACCAAGGCAACGAUGCAUAGCCGACCGGAGAGGGUGAUCGGCCACACUGGAACGGAGACACGGUCCAGACUCCUACGGGAGGCAGCAGUAGGGAAUCUUCCGCAAUGAGCGAAAGCCUGACGGGGCAACGCCGCGUGAGUGAUGAAGGUCUUCGGAUCGUAAAACUCUGUUAUUAGGGAAGCGGUACCUAAUCAGAAAGCCACGGCUAACUACGUGCCAGCAGCCGCGGUAAUAC